UUAAUGGACCAAAGUUCACAGGAGACAACUAUGGUACAAGUUGUCUCCUGUGAACGCCGAGGCCUCGGGUGUAUGACCAGGCAAAUAUGCGUCAGCACAGGGAAAUGGCAGGAGUCACUGCUUACAGCACUGUGUUGAUAUCGGAGGAUUUCGACAAAGAAGGGAAAGACCGUGGAGGAGAAAUUCCCAGGACCUUGGUGGGUAAACAACGAACACAUUAAUGCUCGUGCUUCACAUUUCACGUCAAGCCAAACAAGGUACGCAAUGAGGAGAGAAUGACGGUUCACGGUUAGACCAGCAGGGGGCAGGAUGUAACAUAAAGAUGAAAUACAGUAAUCACUAGGAUGAAAAGAGAGAUAUACGUUAGAAACCAUGAAACCAAGCCAUGAAUAGAAAUGUUAAAUAACUAUUAAUAUUCAUACCUAAAUUACAGUCAUAAUCAAAGGCUUUUUUGUUUGUUUUUUUUUGGUACGGGUUGGUAAAUAGAAGAGGGUACAAGGCCAAAUUAUUUACGAAUUACUUACUACUAAUUAACAAAAUGUUCAUUUCAUCAAGACCAGAAUAUUGUUUAGUCUACAGGACAAAGUGCUGCGUUUUACAAUUUAAAAUUUAAAAGAAAAACUCAUAAAUAUAGUUAUUUAAAAAGAAAAGAUAAUGUGAUUUUAUCAUUUAAACCAGAGGUCUCAAUCUCCCGGCACACAGGCCCCUUCCUGCCGCACUGAUUUAAUUGAUGACAACGAUCUCUUUGAUUAUUGUAAGGCAGUCAGAGUCAUUAAACACACACCAGAACCUUAGGCGUUAGAUGAUGGCUUUAUAUUCCUGUGUCAGUCUUGUAUUGCACACAAAAUUAAUGCUAGGUUAAAAACAAUCUCCAAAACAACAGUCCUAUUAAUCAGUCAGACUUCCACUGGAAACAGCGCAUGUCCAGAUAAGAUGGAUGGUCGUAAAGUUAUUUUAAAAUCCUACACUAAAUUUGAUACUAGUUAAUAUAUAUUCACAAAGGCAAUAACUGUAUUUUUUUAAACAUUAAAAUGAUUCAAAUUACAUGAAUAAUGCAACAUUAACUUAUUGCACAGAUCUCCUGGAAAUCUCACAGUACACUGAACCCUAAAGUCAGCUCAGGUCCAUGUGUAUCAUCAACUCUAUCACCAGUAAAAACAGUGAGAUUUAGACCCAUUAGAGUUUGGGUUUAGACCUCUCCACCAGCAAUGAUUUUUUUUUAAUUAAACAACAAAUUAACAUUUUUUUAGAAUACAAACAAACACUGUAUACGUUAUAGCUCUGUUAAUAUUCUGCUAACAAUUUCCUUUGUACUCCCUGAGAAAUAAAAACACUGCUUAAGGGAAACAUUUAGCAGUACUAAAGUACUUCGUACUAAACUGUUUCAUUAAGGCCAGUGGUUUCCUACUGGUACGUCCAAUGGCUUGUAAAGUAUGACAUGACAUGGGAUUCAUAUUAAAUAUAUAGUGAAUCAUAUUUAAAAAUCAACCUGUGUGCAUAUUGAUAGUCUAGGGUGUUAAAUGUGAUGUAAAGUGCCAACUGUUUUAAGUAGUUAGAUAUAUGUGGUCUGUUUUAGCUUGUGUUCUAGUGUCAAACCAUGACUGCUGCUGAAUAAGUGAUCAAAAGUGAUCAUACAUAGAGUGCAUAACUAAAAAGUGGAGUAUACAUGCACCAUGAGUGUAAAAUGAAAAAACAAAA